AGAGUUUGAUCCUGGCUCAGGACGAACGCUGGCGGCACGCUUAACACAUGCAAGUCGAACGAGAGAAGAGGAGCUUGCUUUUCUGAUCUAGUGGCGGACGGGUGAGUAACACGUGAGCAAUUUGCCUUUCAGAGGGGGAUACCGAUUGGAAACGAUCGUUAAUACCGCAUAACAUAAUUGAACCGCAUGAUUUGAUUAUCAAAGAUUUAUCGCUGAAAGAUGAGCUCGCGUCUGAUUAGCUAGUUGGUAAGGUAACGGCUUACCAAGGCGACGAUCAGUAGCCGGACUGAGAGGUUGAUCGGCCACAUUGGGACUGAGACACGGCCCAGACUCCUACGGGAGGCAGCAGUGGGGAAUAUUGCACAAUGGAGGAAACUCUGAUGCAGCGAUGCCGCGUGAGGGAAGAAGGUUUUAGGAUUGUAAACCUCUGUCUUCAGGGACGAAAAAAGACGGUACCUGAGGAGGAAGCUCCGGCUAACUACGUGCCAGCAGCCGCGGUAAUACGUAGGGAGCGAGCGUUGUCCGGAAUUACUGGGUGUAAAGGGAGCGUAGGCGGGAUCGCAAGUCAGAUGUGAAAACUAUGGGCUUAACCCAUAAACUGCAUUUGAAACUGUGGUUCUUGAGUGAAGUAGAGGUAAGCGGAAUUCCUAGUGUAGCGGUGAAAUGCGUAGAUAUUAGGAGGAACAUCAGUGGCGAAGGCGGCUUACUGGGCUUUAACUGACGCUGAGGCUCGAAAGCGUGGGGAGCAAACAGGAUUAGAUACCCUGGUAGUCCACGCCGUAAACGAUGAUUACUAGGUGUGGGGGGACUGACCCCUUCCGUGCAGCAGCAAACGCAAUAAGUAAUCCACCUGGGGAGUACGACCGCAAGGUUGAAACUCAAAGGAAUUGACGGGGGCCCGCACAAGCAGUGGAGUAUGUGGAUUAAUUCGAAGCAACGCGAAGAACCUUACCAGGUCUUGACAUCGUAUGCAUAGCUCAGAGAUGAGUGAAAUCUCUUCGGAGACAUAUAGACAGGUGGUGCAUGGUUGUCGUCAGCUCGUGUCGUGAGAUGUUGGGUUAAGUCCCGCAACGAGCGCAACCCUUACUGUUAGUUGCUACGCAAGAGCACUCUAGCAGGACUGCCGUUGACAAAACGGAGGAAGGUGGGGAUGACGUCAAAUCAUCAUGCCCCUUAUGACCUGGGCCUCACACGUACUACAAUGGCUGUCAACAGAGGGAAGCAAAGCCGCGAGGUGGAGCGAACCCCUAAAAGCAGUCUUAGUUCGGAUUGUAGGCUGCAACCCGCCUACAUGAAGUCGGAAUUGCUAGUAAUCGCAGAUCAGCAUGCUGCGGUGAAUACGUUCCCGGGCCUUGUACACACCGCCCGUCACGCCAUGGGAGUCGGUAACACCCGAAGCCUGUAGUCUAACCGCAAGGAGGACGCAGUCGAAGGUGGGAUUGAUGACUGGGGUGAAGUCGUAACAAGGUA
rnacentral:rRNA from 1 species